rnacentral:lncRNA from 1 species
AUGACUUAUGGAAAAAUAAUACUAGUGUUGUAUUUUUUAAUUCAACUAUAUUCAUGUUAUGAAAUUACUGAAAGCCCAAGUGAAGUACCAUCUAUAGAUAUGACCGAUUUUAAUAAAAUAUUAAUAAACAAUCAAGGUUUUACUAUUUUAAUGUUAUAUGCGCAUUGGUGUAGUUUAUCUCUACUAUUAUUAAAAAAUUUAAAAAACAUAUCUAGCCUUUUAACUUAUGAUGGUAGUGGUAUUGCAAAUAUAGUAAAAAUGAAUGUUUUGUCUAACCGUGGUGUCAUAGAAAAAUUAAAUAUAUAUAGUUAUCCUGCUUUAUUUAUGAUUAAAAAAAAUAUAAUAUAUAGAUAUAAUGGGUUCAACAAAAUGAUGGAUAUAUUAUUAUGGGUAUAUAAGCACCUAGACACGAGUGUAUUUGAAAUAAAUAAUAAAACAAAAUUAACUACAUUUUUACAACUUGAAGAAUAUAAUAAUGCUAUUUUAUUUUUUAUAAGUAAAAAGGGACCGAAUGAUAAAUUAUUUAAACAGUUAGUAGAAAUAAGUAUAUCAACACAACUCGCUUUUUUUUUAUAUAUAACACAAAAAGAUAUAAUUGAUUUUUUUGAAAAUGAUAUAUUAUCACAUCAAUAUAAAUUUAAUUUAGAAGAGGUAAAUGAUAAAGAUAUAUAUGGUAUAUUAUUUAAAAAAGAUGAUUUUGAUAGCUAUUUUUUUUUAAUAGAAAAAGAAUUAGAAUAUAUAUACGACAUGAAUGUUUCAAAAGAGCUCAAAUUUUUUGACUUAAGUAAUUGGAUUCAAAAAAAAAUUAAACCACUUGUUAUCAAAUUUUCAGAAUACUAUUUUCCAGUGCUAUUUUCAAACGAGACGAUCACACUAUUUAUAUUAUAUAAUAAUAUAAAUCAGUUGAAUAAAACAGCUAUUAUAAAAUCUGCUAUGAAACAUAAGCAUAUAAAUUUCGCUGUAUCAGGUGCUAAAGAAACUUUUGAAAAAAGAUUGUUAUCUGAGUUACUUAUAGAAAAUUUUGAUAAACCAAUAAUGAGAAUUACUGAGUUUAAAACUAAUGUAAACAUUCCUUAUAAAUAUAAGCCACUGGAUGAUAACAUAGAGAUAAAUGAAAAUGUUAGUAAUUUUUUUUUUUUUUUUUUUUUUUUACCUAAUGGUUGA